rnacentral:lncRNA from 1 species
GCCUGCAGCAGAACUUAUAAGCAAGAAAAUACAUUUGCCAAUUAAUAAUUAAAAAGACAACCAAGUUAACAGAAAAAUAGGCAGGAGAGGUCAUUCACAAUAGAGGGUACAAGUGGCCAAAAAGAAAAUGAGAUUUUCAACUUUAUUACUCAUCAGAGAAAUGCAAGUGAAAAGCACAGUGAGAUACUACAUGAAUAACUGAAAUGAAAAAAAAAAAGACAUUCCUAAAUGUUGAGAAGGCCAUGGAACAACUGGAACUCUAACAACCUCCUGGAUAGAAUUUGAACUGGUAAAACCCCCUUGUGUAACUGGCAAUUUCUAAUAAAGCUAAACAUAUGCUUACCCCUAAUCUAGAAACUUCACAUCUAAGAUUGUUAUACCAGAACUAUGUGUAAUAGUCAAAACAAGAAAAAACUCAAUUGUCCAUCAGCAGAAUGUAACUAUCCUGGGGUGUAUCCAUGCAAUGAAAUAUUACACAGCAGUAAAAAGAAACAAACUACUUCUAUCACAACACAGAUGAAUCUCACAAACAAGGUUGGGCAGAAGAAGCCAUUUUUAUGGGUAUUUCAUUGCAAUCCUCUUUUGUAACAGGUAUGCUUUUAUUUAUAAAGGUCAAAUACUUUUUAAAAAUAGUGUAUAGUACUGCUUGUGGGAUUAAUGGUUGGGAGAGGGCACAAAUUAGGGUUUCCGGAGUGUGAAAUAUUUUAUUUACAUCUGGGUGCUGUUUACAGAAGUAUGUUUAGUUUAGGAUUUCUAGGCUGGGCGCGGUGGCUCAAGCCUGUAAUCCCAGCACUUUGGGAGGCCGAGACGGGUGGAUCACGAGGUCAGGAGAUCGAGACCAUCCUGGCUAACACGGUGAAACCCCGUCUCUACUAAGAAAUACAAAAAACUAGCCGGGCGAGGUGGCGGGCACCUGUAGUCCCAGCUACUCAGGAGGCUGAGGCCGGAGAAUGGCGUGAACCCGAAAGGCGGAGCUUGCAGUGAGCUGAGAUCCGGCCACUGCACUCCAGCCUGGGCUACAGAGCGAGACUCCGUCUCAAAAAAAAAAAAAACAAAAACAAACAAACAAACAAAAAAAGAUAUAUAUUUAAGGAAUUACUACUUGGAAAAGGUGACUAACUGAAGUGGCCACACACAACAGCAAUCACAUGUGUGAAGUACAUAAGGAACAACCUGUGACUGUCCUAAAAGAGAGAGAAAGGGAAAAACUUGCUAAACCAUAGUAUAUGGUGUCAAUGCUCAGAAAAGAUAACCAAUUAAUUUUUUACAGGUUCUGAAUUAAUUAAAGACACUUUUAAUACCCAAGAUCUCACCCAUUAAAAAAAAAAAAAGAAGAACGUGGAUGAUAAUAUGCAAGGCAUGUGAAGGAAACCACAGGCUCUCUUGGGAGACAUAAAAGAAGUUCUCAAGAACUGGUGAGAAAUAUAUUCCUCCUUGGGAAGACUUCAGAACCACAGUGAUAGGAAGAGAUAAUCCCAGCACUUUGGGAGGCCAAGGUAGGGGGACCACAAGGUCAGGAGUCCAAGACCAGCCUCGCCAACAUGGUGAAGCCCCGUCUCUACUAAAAAUACAAAAAUUAACUGGGUGCGGUGGCAUGUACCUAUAAUCCCAGCUACUCGGGAGGCUGAGGCAGGAGAAUUGCUUGAACCUGGGAGCCAAGAUCACACCACUGCACUUCAGCCUGGGCAACAGAGCAAGACUCCAUCUUGAAAAAAAAAAAAGAAGAAGAAGAGAUGCCCUUUACCUGAGAACUUAAGGGGAGGCAUCUUUUACUGAGAACCUACUGUGUAGUAGGUGUUUUCCAUGAAUCAGCUCAUUUAAUUCCCAAUCCUCUAUGAACUAGGUCCAGUAACAGCCCCCAAUCCACAGAUGCAAAGACCAAGGCCCAAGAUGAGACAGCUGAGCAAUGAGAGAAUUGCAUAGUGAGAGGCAGGGCUGCGUGUGAACCAAAGCUGCAAGGCACAUCAUCAGAGAAAGUGCAGGCUAUUCACUGAGUGGUGUUGGGAUAACGGCCACUCCUGCAGGGAAGGUACAGUCAAUCCUCUACCUCACUUCACAGACAAGAUACUACCUGCACUAAAGAUUCA